AUACGGAGGAUCCAAGCGUUAUCCGGAAUCAUUGGGUUUAAAGGGUCCGUAGGCGGCUUUAUAAGUCAGUGGUGAAAGUUUGCAGCUUAACUGUAAAAUUGCCAUUGAUACUGUAGAGCUUGAAUUUUUGUGAAGUAACUAGAAUAUGUAGUGUAGCGGUGAAAUGCUUAGAUAUUACAUGGAAUACCAAUUGCGAAGGCAGGUUACUAACAAACAAUUGACGCUGAUGGACGAAAGCGUGGGUAGC
rnacentral:rRNA from 1 species